AAGGGUAGCAAUACCUGAGUACAGUGGCGCACGGGUGAGUAACACGUGAAUAAUCUACCUCCGAGUGGGGAAUAACUUAGGGAAACCUGAGCUAAUACCGCAUAACACUUACGAGUCAAAGCAGCAAUGCGCUUGGAGAGGAGUUCGCGGCAGAUUAGCUAGUUGGCGGGGUAAUGGCCCACCAAGGCGAUGAUCUGUAUCCGGCCUGAGAGGGCGCACGGACACACUGGAACUGAAACACGGUCCAGACUCCUACGGGAGGCAGCAGUGGGGAAUUUUGCGCAAUGGGGGAAACCCUGACGCAGCAACGCCGCGUGGAGGAUGAAAUCCCUUGGGAUGUAAACUCCUUUCGAUCGGGACGAUUAUGACGGUACCGGAAGAAGAAGCCCCGGCUAACUUCGUGCCAGCAGCCGCGGUAAUACGAGGGGGGCAAGCGUUGUUCGGAAUUAUUGGGCGUAAAGGGUGCGUAGGCGGUUUGAUAAGUCUUGUGUGAAAUCUCUGGGCUCAACCCAGAGUCUGCACAGGAAACUGUCGGGCUUGAGUAUGGGAGAGGUGAGUGGAAUUUCCGGUGUAGCGGGUGAAUGCGUAGAUAUCGGAAGGAACACCUGUGGCGAAAGCGGCUCACU
rnacentral:rRNA from 1 species